UACUGAGCUACUUUCAAGUCUUCACUGC
rnacentral:piRNA from 1 species